rnacentral:rRNA from 1 species
CAUAGCGACUAUCGUGGCAUAUCAAUAAGCGGAGGAAAAGAAACUAACAAGGAUUCCCUUAGUAACGGCGAGUGAAGCGGGAAGAGCUCAAAUUUGAAAUCUUCAAGGUUUUCCCUUGACGAAUUGUAGUUUAAAGAAGUGUUUUCUGUUAGAGAGUUCGGUAAAAGUUCUUUGGAAUAGGACAUCAUAGAGGGUGAGAAUCCCGUAUUUGACGUCACUUUCUAGCUACGUUGUGAUACACUUUCAAAGAGUCGGAUUGUUUGGGAAUGCAGUCCAAAUGGGUGGUAAAUUUCAUCUAAAGCUAAAUAUUGGCGAGAGACCGAUAGCGAACAAGUACCGUGAGGGAAAGAUGAAAAGAACUUUGAAAAGAGAGUUAAACAGUACGUGAAAUUGUCAAAAGGGAAGCGAUUGACACCAGUGUUGUUUUCUCGAAAAUCAAUUAAAAAUGGCCGGAUUUUGUGUUGUAUUGACCUUAUCAAGCUUUCUUCACUCUUUUUCUUGUCUUUUUUAAUGCACUUUUCGUUUAACAAGUCAACAUCAAUUUCUUUUGUUGUAAAAGAGUCAUUGGAAGGUGGCUUUCAUUUCGGUGAAAGUGUUUUUAGCCUUUGACUUCUGCAACCGGAGAGACUGAGGUCUGCAGCGUAGACUCUUCGGGGUUAGAUACAUUUGUGCUAAGCUAUAGCUUUUUAUAGACAACUUGUUGACUAUAUUAAGUCUUGUGGCUUACUCGCUUAUGCUAUUUUACCUACGCUUAGGAUGUUGAUAUGCAUGACUGAUAU